rnacentral:rRNA from 1 species
UGUUUGGAGAGUUUGAUCCUGGCUCAGGACGAACGCUGGCGGCGUGCUUAACACAUGCAAGUCGAACGGAAAGGCCCUUUCGGGGGUACUCGAGUGGCGAACGGGUGAGUAACACGUGGGUGAUCUGCCCUGCACUCUGGGAUAAGCCUGGGAAACUGGGUCUAAUACCGGAUAGGACCAUGGGAUGCAUGUUCUGUGGUGGAAAGCUUUUGCGGUGUGGGAUGGGCCCGCGGCCUAUCAGCUUGUUGGUGGGGUGAUGGCCUACCAAGGCGACGACGGGUAGCCGGCCUGAGAGGGUGACCGGCCACACUGGGACUGAGAUACGGCCCAGACUCCUACGGGAGGCAGCAGUGGGGAAUAUUGCACAAUGGGCGCAAGCCUGAUGCAGCGACGCCGCGUGGGGGAUGACGGCCUUCGGGUUGUAAACCCCUUUCA